GCGAGGCGGUGUCGUGCGCCGGUCUCGGCCGGGGAGGGCCGCCGCUGCUGCGCUCAGUUCAGCUGGGGCGAGCGUGUUAUACUGCGGACUGCGAGUGUCGACGUGAGAUCGGCGCGUGCGGGCGCUAGUCGUCGACCACGGGUGACGCGGCCGGCCGCAGAGCAGGGCUGACUGGGUGGCGAGCCGGUGUGCUGGCCACCGAACCCUCUACGGUGCGACGGUCAGCGUGCGCCGCUGACCAGCUGAGUCGCCUGCUGCCGCCACCACAAGGCUGGAGUCAGCACCUCGCUCUCUGUCCGCGGCUGGCAUGCCGACUCCUGGCAAGGAGCUGACCCGGGGGCGGUUCUGAUGGGUGCACCAUGCGACUCGGUCGGCCGGCCCGGACCAUGAUCGGCGUCUGGACGGCGCUGCUCCUCAUCCCGGCCGCCACCGGAUUGGACCUGCAGAAUGCGAAGCACCUGACGGCGCUGGUCGGGCAGGGUGUGGUGCUUGACUGCCCUCUGGACUUCCCCGACGGCCAACCCGUGCCCUACGUCAUCGAGUGGAGGA